AAAUUAAAUGGCUGCAGUAACUAUGACUGUAAAAAUGUAGCAUAAUAAUUCGCCACUUAAUUAGUGGAUAGUAUGAACGGUUUAACGAAAAUUCCACUGUNUUAUAUAAUAAAAAAAAAAUUUAAAUCAUAGUUAAGAUGUAUGUAAAACUGUAAGACGAAAAGACCCUAUAAAGCUUAACUAUAUUUCUUAAUAAUUAAUAAAAAAAAACUUAAAAAAAUUAUUUAUUAAGAUUUGGUAGUUUCAUUGGGGCGAUGAUCUCUAAAAAUAAACAGAGAUAAACCUAUAUAAUAAUAAAAUUUACUGUAUAAUUAAUAAAUUUAACAGUUACAAAGUAGGGUAUAAUGACCCAUUAAUUUUAUAAAAAGAAUUAAUGAUCAAUAAAUAAAAGCUACUUUAGGGAUAACAGGAUAAUAAUUUCUUAGAGACCCAAUCGAAGAAAAAGUUUAUCACCUCGAUGUUGAAUUAAGAUAACCUAAUGACGCAGC
rnacentral:rRNA from 1 species